UUCCGGUCCGGCCGCUAGCUGAGAACUAGCUCCUCUGGGUUUGGUACCUUGCAGGGUGAGCAGGGAGGCGCUUUCCCACACUUCCCUGUACCCGAGACUGGAGACCUGACUCUUUUCUAUCCUUGUGGCCUUAAGAAGAUCGCAGCGGGAACUUUUCGGGAAGUUCAUCUGCUUUCUCAUUGAAAAGGGCCUUACUUGUAACAAGUUUUGGCCAUCAUCUCCGGACUGGAUAUGAAGAAAUGCAAGGGUCUUCUGAUAGCAGGUGCAGUGGAGCAUUCCCUACCAAUGGGCACCUACCAGGGAGAGAAGAAAGUGAAGUCAAGCUCAAGGAGGAGCUUCAAGUGCUCAAGUUUGAACGGACACUGCCAAAAGAGAAGCUUGGAAUUACUAAGGAGACAGACAGGAGCCCCGCUUCUCCAGAGGCCGGGGCUGCACGCAUGCAGGCUACCAUGACUUCAUUCAAUUAAGUCAUAUCAAAGUGAAUUGGUUUGACACCCCCAAAAGGGUAACUUCCACUAGCAAAAGUCAUAGUGCUGUAUAGAACAAAGAAAAGGUUACUUUGCUAAAAAAAAAAAAAAUCUUUUGAAUCAAAAGGA